GCUUCGGUGGCCUAGUGGUUAGAGCAUCCGCCUCAGAUGCAUGAGGUCAUGGGUUCGAUCCCUGGAUGAGUCA